GACGAACGCUGGCGGCGUGCCUAACACAUGCAAGUCGAACGAAGUUAGAAGGAGCUUGCUUCUUCUAACUUAGUGGCGGACGGGUGAGUAACGCGUGAGUAACCUGCCUUACAGAGGGGGAUAACGUCUGGAAACGGACGCUAAUACCGCAUAACAUUUUGAGAUCACAUGGUCUUAAAAUCAAAGGAGUAAUCCGCUGAAAGAUGGACUCGCGUCCGAUUAGCUAGUUGGUGAGAUAAAAGCCCACCAAGGCGACGAUCGGUAGCCGGGUUGAGAGACUGGACGGCCACAUUGGGACUGAGACACGGCCCAGACUCCUACGGGAGGCAGCAGUGGGGGAUAUUGCACAAUGGAGGAAACUCUGAUGCAGCAACGCCGCGUGAGGGAAGACGGUUUUCGGAUUGUAAACCUCUGUCCUUGGUGAAGAUAAUGACGGUAGCCAAGGAGGAAGCUCCGGCUAACUACGUG
rnacentral:rRNA from 1 species